UCCUAGCCUAUUCUCUCCUCUUGCCCCUGCCGUGUGCCUCGCAAGUGUACAGCGCCGCCGCCGCCCAACAUCGUCUCCAGAUCGACUCCUCCCGCGCCCUUCUGGCUGCUGCCGUCCACUGCCACAGUGCCACCCCUCCGCCGGUCGCGCGCGUCACCCAACUGUCCCGUUCCAUCUCCUGCGUGCCACCCUCCGUCCCGUUCCAUCUCCCACGCGCGCGAGCUCCAGGAGUAACAUCGCCAAGGGGCCCUGCAGUCCCUCCCGUCGGAGUGAGCCGACAUUAUUCAGCACACAAUUUGGGGAAUAACAAGAAUCUUCAUCAGAAAAUGGAAGAACCAACCAAUUUGCUUCAGUUCGGCCCUGCUCAGCUAGCUUUACAUUUUAUUCAGUUCCUUGACAUGCAACAGAGAAUAAUGUAACCAAGGAGAAAGGGAUUUUCCUUCUUACUGAUCUCUCAAGGGUGUUUGACCUGCCUGCACACGAGAUAUGGGCCAUAUGGCAAAGUCAUGAAGCUAUGUAGUGGUACAGCCUCUGGCUGAAAUGACCAGGGUAUCACCGGAGAAGAUUGCAGUUUACUUUGGUAGUUGUUUUAAAUAGUUAUCAAGUUGAAUAUUAAUGUACUAUAUGUAAUAGCAGUGCCUCGCGUGUGACUGAGAGAAUAUUCUAGGGUCGGUGACUUUGAUUUUCAUUGGUCCUUUUUGUUUAGUCACGUUGCUGCAGACAACAACGUGUUUCGAACAAUAAAAUUUAUCGGAAAUCUAUUACCUUUUGUCUGUACA